GUCUGCGUCUCCGAGCUCGACCACAUCCCUGCGGCCAGACACAGCUGAAGGCGGGCGGGAAAGCAGCGCCAGCGUGACGGCGGAAAAGACAACCGCAGCCGUCAUCGUGCAGAAAAGAGGGGAACACUAACAGGUCUCCUCUUCUUUUCCUGACCUGGACAAGGUGACAGUCACUUCAUGUUCCCUUUCUGGCUCCGCCCCUUUUGGACGAGGAGAAUCGAGGCUUCCUCUUGAACUGGGUGAAGAUUCGGACAUUUUUCUCUCCUUCACUCCUCCCUCGAGGUUGGUCCUGAGGACGUUGAUUGAUUUUUUUUUAAAGGAGGCGGAGCCUUUUCUCGCCUCCAGACUGGGUUUCCCUCGCCACGAAGGAGACAACCUUCUCCUCAGACCAGCCAGUGUCUGUAUGUGGCCUCUGAUUUUCUCAGUGGUUACCGUGGAGACGGUGGAGGAGGUGAAGGUGUCAGUCUUAUGUAGAGGGAGUCGGUGAAGGAGGACUCGUGGAGGACUCGGCGAGGAAACCGCGGUGCUGGUUAGGGUGUCCAGCGGGGGGCAGGAGUUGGAGGCGGGAGGAGGGGGUGGCGGCUGCACCAGGACGAACCCCAUUCGUUUGAAGUCCAGGUUGGCGGGAAGGCGCGGCGGGUAUUUGGAUCCCGGGGGAAAGCUGUAGGUGAUGGAGGCGGAACGCAGGACGGCCAGCUGACUCUGACGGGGUUUCCCCUUCCUGCAGGAAGGGGGCGCCUCGGGGAUGGAGCCAGACGGGCUGUUGGAAUGUUUCACUGCCAGAUAGAUGAUGGGAAGGCUCCGCUGGGGUAAAAAAAAAACAAAAAAACUGAAUAAAAACUGAAUUACAAACAA